UGGCGGCAUGCUUUACACAUGGCAAGUCGAACGGUAACAGGCCUUCGGGCGCUGACGAGUGGCGAACGGGUGAGUAAUGCAUCGGAACGUGCCCAGAGGUGGGGGAUAACGCAGCGGAAGCUGUGCUAAUACCGCAUAUUAUCUGAGGAUGAAAGCGGGGGACUAAGCAGCAAUGUUUGGCCUCGCGCCUUUGGAGCGGCCGAUGUCAGAUUAGGUAGUUGGUGGGGUAAAGGCCUACCAAGGCUACGAUCUGUAGCGGGUCUGAGAGGAUGAUCCGCCACACUGGAACUGAGACACGGUCCAGACUCCUACGGGAGGCAGCAGUGGGGAAUUUUGGACAAUGGGGGCAACCCUGAUCCAGCCAUGCCGCGUGAGUGAAGAAGGCCUUCGGGUUGUAAAGCUCUUUCGGCCGGGAAGAAAUCGCAUAGGCUAAUACCCUGUGUGGAUGACGGUACCGGAAUAAGAAGCACCGGCUAACUACGUG
rnacentral:rRNA from 1 species